GGUCAGCUUCCCAUUGGGUUGUAUAGUGCAACUCUCCCCAGUCUGUGGUAUUGGAGCUAAGGUGGGCAUAAACUGAUGUAAUGAGCCCCUUAGGCGCUUGGUGUCCCCGGUGUAUGAUGUGCACUGGUCUUCUCCACCUCACCCCUUCACCCUGGUACCUGCACGCCCCAUUAAAUCAAAGCCAGUUCUCGGGGACAGGGGGCAGGUUCCUUCCUCGCUGUAAUCAUCCCAGCUGUAGAGUGGCUGUUUUCAUUCCCCCGCCGUAUACCAUUCCCUAGGGAGCAUCAGCAUUUCUACUGCUGCAGUUGUGGGCCACGUGAACUCCACUGGGGCAAGAAUGUCAUGGCCUGCAGGAAAGCUGUGGCAUCUCCAUCUGGUUGCAGUAUUCUGGAUCUGCCAAGUUUAAACGCCAUCAAUUUAAACGGGUACCCGCAGGCGUAUUUAAUGUGGUUUGUUCUCAGGAGGAGUGUAACUGGUCUCCACUCACUGUGUCUCUGUAAGGUAACUGGGGAAAGGUCUUGGUAUAAUAGUGUCGCUACUAUAUGCUGAAUUGUACCUUUCCUGCUGCACUUCAUGAGAGUCUUUGUUUGGAAGUGCUGGAAUCUUAUCACAUCCCUGAGUUGUUUUGCAUACUACAUGGUUUUAAUGCUCUGUGCGGUCUGUCUAGGGGCCAGUGGUGGUCAGGUAUAUCAAGCAGAAGAGGCUUGAAGACUGCCAGCACAGCAUGUCAGGGGCCCUUCCCCAUCUCACUCCAGGAGGCCACGCAGCCUGAUGUUGUUGCAUCUGGAGCGGUUUGCCAGGUCUUCCAGGGCUGCCUCCACCAACGUGAGCCUCAUGGUGAGUUGUUGUACCUGCGUGGCUACAGCGUUUUGGGACCUGGUUGUGGACUCCUGUAACUGCUCCAGGACUGCCGCCCUGUGGCCCAGCACAACUAUCUCUGCUUUUACCUCGUUGGUGGUCUUGGUGAUCUCUCCAGCCAGGUAGGUUUUUACCUCCAUGAGUUUCACCAGGAUUUGAUUUGUCUCUAUGCCAGAUGAGUUGGAGUGUGUGGGAGUACUGGACCUCAGCGGCGUCUGUGAGGCCUGCGGGCUGCUCCGUCCG